AACGAACGCUGGCGGCAGGCUUAACACAUGCAAGUCGAGCGCCCCGCAAGGGGAGCGGCAGACGGGUGAGUAACGCGUGGGAAUCUACCCAUCUCUACGGAAUAACGCAUGGAAGCGUGUGCUAAUACCGUAUACGUCCUUCGGGAGAAAGAUUUAUCGGAGAUGGAUGAGCCCGCGUUUGAUUAGCUAGUUGGUGGGGUAAAGGCCUACCAAGGCGACGGUCCAUAGCUGGUCUGAGAGGAUGAUCAGCCACACUGGGACUGAGACACGGCCCAGACUCCUACGGGAGGCAGCAGUGGGGAAUAUUGGACAAUGGGCGCAAGCCUGAUCCAGCCAUGCCGCGUGAGUGAUGAAGGCCCUAGGGUUGUAAAGCUCUUUCACCGGUGAAGAUAAUGACGGUAACCGGAGAAGAAGCCCCGGCUAACUUCGUGCCAGCCGCCGCGGUAAGAC
rnacentral:rRNA from 1 species